rnacentral:rRNA from 1 species
CCUACGGGUGGCAGCAGUGGGGAAUAUUGGGCAAUGGGCGCAAGCCUGACCCAGCAACGCCGCGUGUAGGAAGAAGGCUUUCGGGUUGUAAACUUCUUUUGGCAGGGAAGAGUGUAUGACGGUACCUAACGAAUAAACCACGGCUAACUACGUGCCAGCAGCAGCGCUAAUACGUAGGUGGCAAGCGUUGUCCGGAUUUACGGGGUGUAAUGGGCGGGUAGCCGGGUUGACAAGUCAGAUGUGAAAUCCUGCGGCUUAACCGCAGAACUGCAUUUGAAACUGUUGAUCUUGAGUACUGGAGAGGCAGACAGAAUUCCUAGUGUAGCGGUGAAAUGCGUAGAUAUUAGGAGGAACACCAGUGGCGAAGGCGGUCUGCUGGACAGCAACUGACGGUGAGGCGCGAAAGCGUGGGGAGCAAACAGGAUUAGAUACCCCAGUAGUC